ACCUGCGGAGGGAUCAUUACUGAGUUUACGCUCUAUAACCCUUUGUGAACAUACCUAUAACUGUUGCUUCGGCGGGUAGGGUCUCCGCGACCCUCCCGGCCUCCCGCCUCCGGGCGGGUCGGCGCCCGCCGGAGGAUAACCAAACUCUGAUUUAACGACGUUUCUUCUGAGUGGUACAAGCAAAUAAUCAAAACUUUUAACAACGGAUCUCUUGGUUCUGGCAUCGAUGAAGAACGCAGCGAAAUGCGAUAAGUAAUGUGAAUUGCAGAAUUCAGUGAAUCAUCGAAUCUUUGAACGCACAUUGCGCCCGCCAGCAUUCUGGCGGGCAUGCCUGUUCGAGCGUCAUUUCAACCCUCAAGCUCUGCUUGGUGUUGGGGCCCUACAGCUGAUGUAGGCCCUCAAAGGUAGUGGCGGACCCUCCCGGAGCCUCCUUUGCGUAGUAACUUUACGUCUCGCACUGGGAUCCGGAGGGACUCUUGCCGUAAAACCCCCCAAUUUUCCAAAGGUUGACCUCGGAUCAGGUAGGAAUACCCGCUGAACUUAAGCAUAUCAA
rnacentral:rRNA from 1 species